AACGAACGCUGGCGGCAGGCUUAACUCAUGCAAGUCGAACGCCCCGCAAGGGGAGUGGCAGACGGGUGAGUAACGCGUGGGAAUCUACCCAGUUCUACGGAACAACUGAGGGAAACUUCAGCUAAUACCGUAUACGCCCUACGGGGGAAAGAUUUAUCGGAAUUGGAUGAGCCCGCGUUGGAUUAGCUAGUUGGUGAGGUAACGGCUCACCAAGGCGACGAUCCAUAGCUGGUCUGAGAGGAUGAUCAGCCACACUGGGACUGAGACACGGCCCAGACUACUACGGGAGGCAGCAGUGGGGAAUAUUGGACAAUGGGCGCAAGCCUGAUCCAGCCAUGCCGCGUGAGUGAUGAAGGCCUUAGGGUUGUAAAGCUCUUUCAGUGGGGACGAUAAUGACGGUACCCACAGAAGAAGCCCCGGCUAACUUCGUGCCAGCCGCCGCCGUAAGAC
rnacentral:rRNA from 1 species